GACGAACGCUGGCGGCGUGCCUAAUACAUGCAAGUCGAACGCUGAAGGAGGAGCUUGCUUCUCUGGAUGAGUUGCGAACGGGUGAGUAACGCGUAGGUAACCUGCCUGGUAGCGGGGGAUAACUAUUGGAAACGAUAGCUAAUACCGCAUAAGAGUAGAUGUCGCAUGACAUUUGCUUAAAAGGUGCAAUUGCAUCACUACCAGAUGGACCUGCGUUGUAUUAGCUAGUUGGUGAGGUAACGGCUCACCAAGGCAACGAUACAUAGCCGACCUGAGAGGGGGAGCGGCCACGCUGGUACUGAGACACGGCCCAGACUCCUGCGGGAGGCAGCAGUAGGGAAUCUUCGGCAAAGGACGGAAGGCGGACCGAGCAACGCUGCGUGAGUGAAGAAUGUAUUCGGGUCGUAAAGGUCUGUUGUAAGAUAAGAACGAGUGUGAGAGUGGAAAGUGCACACUGUGACGGUAUCUGACCAGAAAGGGACGGCUAACUACGUG
rnacentral:rRNA from 1 species